GUCGGAGUGGCGGAACUUGGUAGACGCGCUAGGUUGAGGGCCUAGUCCUCUUCACAGAGGGUGGGGGUUCAAAUCCCCCCUCCGACA
rnacentral:tRNA from 1 species